UGACCCAUCCCGUUCGCGGGGUCUUGGGCACCGCCGCCUGGCGGGCCUCAAAACCAGUGGCGGUCCGGCCGGGCCCUGAGCGUAGUAAAUCGUCUCGCUACAGGGUCCCGGGCGGCACUGGCCAGCAAACCCCCCAAUCUUUUUUACA
rnacentral:misc_RNA from 1 species